AGUGAACGCUGGCGGUAGGCCUAACACAUGCAAGUCGAACGGCAGCACAGUAAGAGCUUGCUCUUACGGGUGGCGAGUGGCGGACGGGUGAGGAAUACAUCGGAAUCUACUUUUUCGUGGGGGAUAACGUAGGGAAACUUACGCUAAUACCGCAUACGACCUACGGGUGAAAGCAGGGGUUCUUCGGACCUUUCGCGAUUGAAUGAGCCGAUGUCGGAUUAGCUAGUUGGCGGGGUAAAGGCCCACCAAGGCGACGAUCCGUAGCUGGUCUGAGAGGAUGAUCAGCCACACUGGAACUGAGACACGGUCCAGACUCCUACGGGAGGCAGCAGUGGGGAAUAUUGGACAAUGGGCGAAAGCCUGAUCCAGCCAUACCGCGUGGGUGAAGAAGGCCUUCGGGUUGUAAAGCCCUUUUGUUGGGAAAGAAAAGCAGCAGGUUAAUACCCCGCUGUUCUGACGGUACCCAAAGAAUAAGCACCGGCUAACUUCGUG
rnacentral:rRNA from 1 species